rnacentral:rRNA from 1 species
GUCGAGCGAGGUCUUCGGACCUAGCGGCGGACGGGUGAGUAACGCGUGGGAACGUGCCCUUCACUACGGAAUAGCCCAUGGAAACGUGGAUUAAUACCGUAUACGCCCUUCGGGGGAAAGAUUUAUCGGUGAAGGAUCGGCCCGCGUUAGAUAAGGUAGUUGGUGGGGUAAUGGCCUACCAAGCCUACGAUCUAUAGCUGGU